AUUCUCUCGGGCCUAGCCGUCCUUGGAACCCGAUAUUCGGGCUGGGCGGUUCCGCGGCCUGGGCCUAGGGGCUUAACAGUAGCAACAGAAGCGGCGGCGGCGGCAGCAGCAGCAGCAGCAGCAGCAAUCUCUUCCCGAACACGAGCACCACAGGCGCCCGAAGGCCGGAACAGAAAAUGGCAGACGAUAUUGAUAUUGAAGCAAUGCUUGAGGCUCCUUACAAGAAGACUUGCCUAACGAUAUCUCACCUCUACUCCCAUGAAUUCACCUUUGAUUCCAGUGUGAACUGUCAAUCAUAAGGUAGUAAUUGAGUGACUUAUCGCUGUACCGUGGUCCCCUAGGUAAAAUGACUCAACUAAGAAUUACCACCUCCAGUUUGGUAUAGCAAAAAGGUGAAUGUAGUGGUUUGGGAAAAAGCAGGGGUCCAAGAAUAACAAAGCAUGACCAGUCUGUGGCAAGUUAAAUCUUCUAACAGUCUUAUAAGAAGAAAUGGGUGAGAUUUUAAAAUUUAUGUAUCUAUGUAAGACUGGUGAUAGUAAAUCUUAAAACAGUCCAGUGGCAAUCUGCUGCUCAGUUAAUAAUUACUAAAAUUCUUGGAUCCCUGAAUAGAAAUU
rnacentral:lncRNA from 10 species